AUUGAUAUAUAGGAUGGUAUCAUUUAGUUACCGGAAGGUUUUCGGGCAUUACCGGCAUUGUACCGGGAGUGACGAAUGGGUUCCGGAAGUUCAUCAGGAGGGGGGAAACCCACCUGGGGGAAGCCCAAUGGCCUUAGGGGUGGUGGGACAGCCCAAGAGGGCAUUGGUGCCAAGAGAAGAAAACCAAAGAAAAAGAAAAAA
rnacentral:lncRNA from 1 species